UUUUUCUUUCACCGGAGCUUGCUCCACCGAAAGAAAAAGAGUGGCGAACGGGUGAGUAACACGUGGGUAACCUGCCCAUCAGAAGGGGAUAACACUUGGAAACAGGUGCUAAUACCGUAUAACACUAUUUUCCGCAUGGAAGAAAGUUGAAAGGCGCUUUUGCGUCACUGAUGGAUGGACCCGCGGUGCAUUAGCUAGUUGGUGAGGUAACGGCUCACCAAGGCAACGAUGCAUAGCCGACCUGAGAGGGUGAUCGGCCACACUGGGACUGAGACACGGCCCAGACUCCUACGGGAGGCAGCAGUAGGGAAUCUUCGGCAAUGGACGAAAGUCUGACCGAGCAACGCCGCGUGAGUGAAGAAGGUUUUCGGAUCGUAAAACUCUGUUGUUAGAGAAGAACAAGGAUGAGAGUAAAAUGUUCAUCCCUUGACGGUAUCUAACCAGAAAGCCACGGCUAACUACGUGCCAGCAGCCGCGGUAAUACGUAGGUGGCAAGCGUUGUCCGGAUUUAUUGGGCGUAAAGCGAGCGCAGGCGGUUUCUUAAGUCUGAUGUGAAAGCCCCCGGCUCAACCGGGGAGGGUCAUUGGAAACUGGGAGACUUGAGUGCAGAAGAGGAGAGUG
rnacentral:rRNA from 1 species